rnacentral:rRNA from 1 species
GAAUGAACGCUGGCGGCGUGCCUAACACAUGCAAGUCGAGCGAGAAAGUUCCCUUCGGGGAGCGAGUACAGCGGCGCACGGGUGAGUAACGCGUGGGUAACCUACCCUCGAGUGGGGGAUAACUCGUCGAAAGGCGGGCUAAUCCCGCAUACGUCCCGCAGACCCAUGUCUGCAGGAGAAAGAUGGCCUCUGCUUGCAAGCUAUCGCUCUUGGAUGGACCCGCGUUAGAUUAGCUUGUUGGUGAGGUAACGGCUCACCAAGGCUCCGAUCUAUAGCUGGUUUGAGAGGACGACCAGCCACACUGGAACUGAGACACGGUCCAGACUCCUACGGGAGGCAGCAGUGAGGAAUAUUGCGCAAUGGGGGAAACCCUGACGCAGCGACGCCGCGUGAGUGAUGAAGGCCUUCGGGUUGUAAAGCUCUGUCAGAGGGAAAGAAAGGGGAUGCGGAAUAAUACCCGCAGCCAUUGACGGUACCCUCGGAGGAAGCACCGGCUAACUCCGUGCCAGCAGCCGCGGUAAUACGGAGGAUGCAAGCGUUAUCCGGAUUCAUUGGGUUUAAAGGGUGCGUAGGCGGGCUAUUAAGUCAGUGGUGAAAUCCUGCAGCUUAACUGCAGAACUGCCGUUGAUACUGAUAGUCUUGAGUUUGGUUAAGGUAGGCGGAAUGUGUAAUGUAGCGGUGAAAUGCUUAGAUAUUACACAGAACACCAAUUGCGUAGGCAGCUUACUGAGCCGACACUGACGCUGAGGCACGAAAGCGUGGGGAUCAAACAGGAUUAGAUACCCUGGUAGUCCACGCCGUAAACGAUGAUUACUCGCUGUUGGCGAUACACUGUCAGCGGCUAAGCAAAAGCAAUAAGUAAUCCACCUGGGGAGUACGGCCGCAAGGUUGAAACUCAAAGGAAUUGACGGGGGCCCGCACAAGCGGAGGAACAUGUGGUUUAAUUCGAUGAUACGCGAGGAACCUUACCUGGGCUUAAAUGUAGAGUGCAUUUUCUAGAGAUAGAAAUUCCCUUCGGGGCUUUCUGCAAGGUGCUGCAUGGUUGUCGUCAGCUCGUGCCGUGAGGUGUCGGGUUAAGUCCCAUAACGAGCGCAACCCUUAUCGUUAGUUGCCAGCUGGUAAAGCAGGGGACUCUAGCGAAACUGCCACCGUAAGGUGAGAGGAAGGUGGGGAUGACGUCAAAUCAGCACGGCCCUUAUGUCCAGGGCUACACACGUGUUACAAUGGCCGGUACAGAGGGCUGCUACCUGGUGACAGGAUGCUAAUCUCGAAAACCGGUCUCAGUUCGGAUCGAAGUCUGCAACUCGACUUCGUGAAGCCGGAUUCGCUAGUAAUCGCGCAUCAGCAACGGCGCGGUGAAUACGUUCCCGGGCCU